GGGGCUGACUGGAAUUGACGGGUAGAGCGGUUUGUGUGUAAGCAUGCAGGGCCUUGUGCGGAUGCCCUAUAAUCUGAACGCUCAAAAAACAAACGGCGAAAAUAACUUCGCUUUGGCUGCCUAAUCAGGACGAUUACGCUUUGCCAACCGUUCCGAUAGGUUCAUCCGAUAGCUUAUCAUCAGGAACGGUCAAUAUAUCGGGUAUUUACGGGCGAUUGUUGCUAACCCGAUAAAUUAUUAGCAACCUAAGGUAGUGUUAUGGCAAUUGGCAGGCCAAGCAAUACCCGAAAAUAACUGCCAAUAAGCAUGUAGAAAGCGCAACAAAUUCCUGCUCCGGACAGGGGUUCGACUCCCCUCAGCUCCACUU
rnacentral:tmRNA from 1 species